UGUGAGAGCGAUCCAUAGAUCCAUGGAGCGAUCGCGGCUGCGCCAAAUGCGUGUUUCCAAAUGGUGGAAUGAAUCGUUGUGACAGGUUAUAUCUUAUAUGUGAUGGAUUUUAAUGUGGAUCUAAAUCGAGCUCGAAACGAUAUCGAGCACUCGAAAUUUCGAGUACUCGCACAGCCCUAAAUAAUAGUAAUUGGGGGUUUACGUCGCGAGACAACUGCGGAGAUCACAUUGAAAUGUCUUCAUCAUGCAUCAUGGUCCACUUUUUCAAGUAGUAAAUAAGUGUGCCAGGAAAUGAAACUUUCACAAAUGUCUUGCAAAAUAUUUGCGGCUACUAAAUAAAAAGAGAGCUUUCUUUAUGACAUUUUUAAGCUAAACACAAAAAUCACAUCCCACCUCGUACCAGAUUAUCGUAAAAAUCACCUGCUCAUAUAUAUAUAUAUAUAUAAAAAACGAGGCUGGUGGUGGCAGCGGAGCGGAGCUCGCCGUCGUUGGCCUCACAGUGGGCAACGUCACGACUAACAGUCUGAGGGGAAUGUGCGUCCUGGGCAGACUUCUAAGGAAAGUGUGCCAACAUACGUCUGACGGCGGCGGAGGAAAACCCAAGAAGAACCCCAGAAGACAGCACAACCGGCACCAACAUUCGAACCUGGGUACCUCCCAGUCUCGACGUGACAUGACCAGCUCACUAACCACUCAGCCCCGCGAGGUCGAUAUAUUAGAAAUGACCAUGUACUUGAAACAUCCUUGUACAAACGAGCUGCCAACAGACCUCUACCUAAGAAACGUCACCGUGCCGUAAUCAUGACACUGGUAGACGUAGCGAAACCGAAACAGCGCGGGCAGAGAAUACCGCAGUUUCACAAAGCCGUAUUCCUACACGAAGGUCACGGGUGGCUUCUUUGUAUUAGUGGUCCACACAAAUGAGGUCACGUUUUUAGUCACUUUCGUGUCUUCAUAUGUUCACUUUCCCAGUCCACCGCGAAGAUAGAAAAGAAGGCUUCACCCCAAGAGUUGCAUAGUCUGAAUGACAUAUAGGGACACCACGUGCACUCUGAGAGAAACUCGUGCCCUUCAGGCUCCAGAAGAUGGAAGAGGUGGCAAGGGCUACCGAAAAGAUGGGGCUGCCGGUAAAAUGGAAGAGAACAAGGCCAUUCAACCUGAUAAUAUGUAAGGAGUUACAUAAAAAUCUUACAAUAUGAGAAGCCACAUUUAAACGUGGCCACCUUA